rnacentral:ncRNA from 1 species
CUGCGCCUGCCGGGGUGUCCGCAUUGUGUGGGCUGAGAUUAUACCCAUUGAACCUGCCUGGGUCAUGCCAGCGAAGGGAGAGCGCCAAUGAGCCUC